CUGUGCUUAACACAUGCAAGUCGAGCGGAAAGGNCCUUCGGGGUACUCGAGCGGCGAACGGGUGAGUAACACGUGAGUAAUCUGCCCUUGCGCUUUGGGAUAACUACCGGAAACGGUGGCUAAUACCGGAUACGACCAAUCACUGCAUGGUGUGUUGGUGGAAAGUUUUUUCGGCCAGGGAUGUGCUCGCGGCCUAUCAGCUUGUUGGUGGGGUAAUGGCCUACCAAGGCUUCGACGGUAGCCGGCCUGAGAGGGUACCGGCCACACUGGGACUGAGACACGGCCCAGACUCNUACGGGAGGCAGCAGUGGGGAAUAUUGGACAAUGGGCGGAAGCCUGAUCCAGCAACGCCGCGUGAGGGAUGACGGCCUUCGGGUUGUAAACCUCUUUCAGUACCGACGAAGCGCCGAUGAUGGUGGUGACGGUAGGUACAGAAGAAGCACCGGCCAACUACGUGCCAGCAGCCGCGGUAAUACGUAGGGUGCGAGCGUUGUCCGGAAUUAUUGGGCGUAAAGGGCUCGUAGGCGGUUUGUCGCGUCGGGAGUGAAAACCCAGGGCUUAACUCUGGGCUUGCUUUCGAUACGGGCAGACUAGAGGCAUGCAGGGGAGAACGGAAUUCCUGGUGUAUCGGUGAAAUGCGCAGAUAUCAGGAGGAACACCGGUGGCGAAGGCGGUUCUCUGGGCAUGUCCUGACGCUGAGGAGCGAAAGUGUGGGGAGCGAACAGGAUUAGAUACC
rnacentral:rRNA from 1 species